ensembl:lncRNA
AAAAGAAAAAAAUGAACAAAAAAGCGAAAAAAGAAAAAAGAAAAAAAUGAACAAAAAAGAGAAAAAGGAGAAAAGAAAAAAAAUGAACAAAAAAGAGAAAAAAGAGAAAAGAAAAUAAAUGAACAAAAAUAAGAAAAAAGAGAAAAGCUAAAAAAAGAAAAAAAAUAAAGAAAAAAGAAAAAAGAGAAAAUAGAAAUAAAAAAGAGGACAGAAAAAUAUGAAAAAAAAGAAAAAAGAAAAAAAGAAACGAAAAAAAUAAUAGAUGAAAAAAGAAAAAACGAAAGGAAAAACGGAUAAUGACAAGAGAAGAAAGGUAAAGAGAAAAGAAGAAAAAAGCCAAGUCAAAAAGUAAAGAAUAACUCGAAGGAAGGAGUGGAUGGCAAGAAAUACAGGGAAAGCAAUGCAUAGCACAGCAAAGCAAAGCAAGGCAAAAUAGCAGCCAAAGCCACGAGAAUCAAGAAGUCAGUGAAGAGCAGGAAAGGAAUGGAGGAAUCUGGCCAGAGCUGUGCCCCUGCUUGCCACAGGAGCUGCGCGGGAGGAGAAGAAUGUGGGCCAAAAGGUAAAGAAAAAGAAGAAAAAAGCCAAGUCAAAAAGUAAAGAAUAACUCGAAGGAAGGAGUGGAUGGCAAGAAAUACAGGGAAAGCAAUGCAUAGCACAG